GGUUGCAUAUAAAGGUCACCCGUGGUUCUGAAAAAAUGUAUGGCAUUACUGACUAAAUCAAUGAAAAAACAUUUUUUAAGUUGAUUCUACAGACCUCCUCUACUCCUGCCUUUUACUCCCCAUAGCUACUAACUCACUGUUUGAUGCUAGAAAAUAAAUUUUAAUGUGAAAAACAACACAGAAACAGUAAUCUCUAAAGCCAGUCAGCAAAAUUGAAAUGUGCUAUUAGUGGUUGAUUGCAAGCUAACAAAUUCAUGGGCUGUGCUAUUGCUAGAGCAUCAUCACUUUUGUCAGUCAAAGUGAGCUUUCACAUAAAUUUUCUGCUUUUUUUCACCUCAGAAAAUAUUAAAAUUCAAAAAGCCUUAUUUUUCCUUCAGUGUGUCAGCGUAGAUAUUUAUAUCAGACAUAUCUGUGGUGGGGAGGGAGGUAAGCAUAUCAGAAUUAUGUGGGGAAAUUUUUUAAAUACAUAUUUCAGCGCUUACUUCUUUGUGGAAUAUGCUACUCUAUCAUUUGACAUGGAUAGAGUAUCCACCAUGUUCCAGAGACCACUCCACGCAAUAGUGUUAGAGAGGUAGGUGGAUGGUGACGUUCCUAAUCUGAACUUUAAAUUUGUGAGGGAGACACAGAGAGUUAACCAGUAAAUAAAUGAACAGGCUAAUUUCAGAUGAUGAAAAACGCCAUGAAGAAAGUAAGUCAUCAUGUUUCAAUAGAGAAUGAUUGGAAUAGAGGAGUUUUAGUUUGUGUGGUCGGGGAAGGUUCCCUAACCUAUCUGAAGCAUUUUCUUCUUUUGAAAAUUGAGACUGUAUCAUCUACCAGAUAAGACUGAUGUGAAGAUUAAGAAUGAUAAUACAUUCUAAUUGCCUGGAUUAUAGUAAGUACUCAAUAAAUAGUAAGUGUUCAGUAGAUGGUAGCUCAUUAUCAUAAUAGUUUUGUGGCGUGGUUCCUCUUGGUAUUAUGUUGAUGUCUGACAUGAUUCCCUGGAUCCAUACAAAAUAGAGAACUCUCCCUUACUUUUCUCAGAGACAGUGUUUUAAAUUCAAAGGUUAGUUGAAAGCCAGGCCUGGUAAUCCUGACACUUUGGGAGGCUGAGGAGGGAGGGUCACUUGAACCUAGAACUUCAAGACCAGCCUGUGCAACAGGGGGUACCCCAUCUACACAAAAGAAUUUUUGAAAAUUAGCUAGGUGUGGUGAUGUGCAGCUGUGGUCCCAGGUACUUGAGAGACUGAGGUGGGAGGAUAGCUUGAGCCUGGCAAGUCAAGGCUGCAAUGAGCUGUGAUCAUGCCACCACACUCCAGCUUGGGCAACAGAGUAAGGCUGUGUUUCAAAAGAAGAAGAAGAAAAAAAAAAAGAUUAGCUAUGCAGUGAAUAUGUUUACUACAUGAUUCUCCUAUUAUUUUCCAUUCCUUGAUGCUUGCUUUGGCCUCUGGUAGUGUGUUUACCACUUUCCUUAUGUGAAGCAUGACGUACCGACUAUUCUAAAAACCAGGAAAACCUGUGUGGCAUCUAAAACCAAAGGUUAAAUUUCCUUCAAGAAGGAUUAUCAUAAUAUAUUGUAUACUUUUUAUUAGAACAGUCUUUCCCACUAAUCUGCACACACUUCUCUUUUUGUAAGAAAUGAAUGAUGUCAAAAGGCUGCUCCCCAAAUACCACCUAUACAAAAUAUUGAUACGACAAAGCUGAGUACAUGUGAGAAUACAAUUUCAAUGGUCCAUUUUCAAGGCAGAAUAAAUCUAAGUACUGGCAGCCAGCCUACAAAUGUAACAAACUGCAUGGUCAUGCACCUAGAAGGUCACCAUAAGCGAACAGAAUGUAGAGGAGGGGUCAGCCCGUAAAAGGGAAAAAAA
rnacentral:lncRNA from 1 species